CUGCGAGUGAAGCGGGAAAAGCUCAAAUUUAAAAUCUGGCGGUCUUUGGCUGUCCGAGUUGUAAUCUAGAGAAGUGUUAUCCGCGCUGGACCGUGUACAAGUCUCCUGGAAUGGAGCGUCAUAGAGGGUGAGAAUCCCGUCUUUGACACGGACUACCAGGGCUUUGUGAUGCGCUCUCAAAGAGUCGAGUUGUUUGGGAAUGCAGCUCAAAAUGGGUGGUAAAUUCCAUCUAAAGCUAAAUAUUGGCGAGAGACCGAUAGCGAACAAGUACCGUGAGGGAAAGAUGAAAAGAACUUUGGAAAGAGAGUUAAACAGUACGUGAAAUUGCUGAAAGGGAAACGCUUGAAGUCAGUCGCGUUGUCCAGGGAUCAACCUUGCUUUUGCUGGGUGUACUUCCUGGUUAACGGGUCAACAUCAAUUUUGAUUGUUGGAAAAAGAUUAGAGGAAUGUAGCAUCUUCGGAUGUGUUAUAGCCUUUGGUUGUAUACAACAAUUGGGAUUGAGGAACUCAGCACGCCGCAAGGCCGGGUUUUUAACCACGUUCGUGCUUAGGAUGUUGGCAUAAUGGCUUUAAUCGACCCGUCUUGAAACACGGACCAAGGAGUCUAACAUGCCUGCGAGUGUUUGGGUGGAAAACCCGAGCGCGUAAUGAAAGUGAAAGUUGAGAUCCCUGUCGUGGGGAGCAUCGACGCCCGGACCAGAAAUUUAUGGACGGCUCCGCGGUAGAGCAUGUAUGUUGGGACCCGAAAGAUGGUGAACUAUGCCUGAAUAGGGUGAAGCCAGAGGAAACUCUGGUGGAGGCUCGUAGCGAUUCUGACGUGCAAAUCGAUCGUCAAAUUUGGGUAUAGGGGCG
rnacentral:rRNA from 1 species